rnacentral:lncRNA from 10 species
CCAAAUGUUCACAGCAGCUUUAUUGGUAACAACAACAACAACAACAACAACAACAACAAAACUAGAAACAACCCAAAUAUCCAUCUACAGGCAAAUGGAUAAACAGUCUGUGGUAUAUACAUACAAUGGAAUACUGUUGAGCAAUAAAAAGGCAUAAACUAUUGAAACAUGCAAAAAAUGGAUAAAUCUCAAGAUAAUUAUGUUGAUGGAAAGAAUCCAGACCAAAAAAAGAGUACAUAUUAUAUGGCUCCAUUUAUAUAAAAUUCUAGAAAAUGCAAACUAAUCUACAGAGACAGAAAGAAGAUCAGCAGUUCCUUAGAACGGAGAAUGUAGGUAGGGGCACAAGAGAGGGAUUGCAACGUGAUUUCUCCAAGGGGUGAUGGAUGUUUAUUAUCUUGAUAGUGGUGAUGGUUUCUCGAGUACACAUGUACAUAAAAACUUAUAAUAUUGUAUACAUUAAGUGUGUAGUUUACUGUAUGUAAAUUACACAUCAACAAAGGUAUUAAAAAUGGAAAAUAAAACAAAUCAGAAUGCUGUUAGGAUGGUGCUGUUAGACAAAACUGUAUAAAUAUUCCUUUUAGAAGCCAACAAAUCUACUUCUCUCCUGCAUCUAUGGCCUUGAACUGCAUUUUCACUAGAGAACUUUCAGCUUGGGGCAAAAAAUAUUUAGCUCUGGGUGUGGGGGAAGAUUUUUGUUACUUCCUCCUGUAGCCUAUAUAGGUGCAGAGAGGAAGAAAUACAGUUCACAGUCAUAGUCCUCAAAUGAAGGAGCAAAGGAGUAAUAGGGUCACAGCCUGGACAGAGCCCAAGAAUAAACGGGCAAGAGCUUACAUAGGCAGAUGGACAUCCUUCUGUCUAUAAUAUGCUUAGCAUAGGUGCAGUGGUGGCAGGGCAGAGGGAUGCAUGCUUCUCUGUACAACAUGUUCUCUCACUUCCGUGUUUCAGAAGACAUCUUAUAAUCAUGGUUGUUUUCAGAAAGAACAAAAUGAAACUUUCUGGUGGCAUUCAUAAAGACAUAAAAAUAAUGGUUUGCGUAGCUCAUCAGGAUCCAUUGAGAUAGUGAGUUUGUCUGUGAGAAGCAAGGGCCAUUUUUCCCUUCCACUUUUCAUUACCACAUACUGUGAUUAUUGGUAUGGUGGAUGCUCCGUGUGUGUGUAGACAGAAAAAAAGAGGCACUACAUAGAGUGGUUAGAAACAGAGAUAAGAGAAACUACAAGAGAUAAACAGAAUCAGGUCUCCAGUUUUUUGUUUUUUUUUUUUCAAAUUAGAAAAGGGCUUAGCAUCUAGACACAACAAAGAAGUGCUGGAAAUUCAGUGAUCAAAGAUACUUCAUGUAACGACUCUGGUGUUUUUUUUUUUUUUUUUUGGCAAGAAUAUGGUAACAUGAUGGUAAUUAGCAGGGAGAGGUGUAAAAGAAGCAUAUGAAAAUAAUAUUAUAUCACUGGGCUUCUUUGUCAGUGGGUCAGGUUAUGACCUCAAAUGGCAGUAUAACUAUUACUGAUGUGUAGAAUUUUGACUUAAAAAAAUGCUUGAGAGUAAAAUCACCUGAGCUAUCCAUAAUGCAUUAGUGUCCAUAUCCUUUAGAUCACCAGAAACAAAAAAAUAAGAAAGCAUCACCUGAAUUUUACUAUUGUUAGGAUAUACAAAUCAAAAUAGCAUAAAAGAUAACUCAUAUUUAAGUCAGAAUUUUUGUUUUGGCCUGACUCCAUGAAUUUAUGAAAUUGUGUAAGGCAAGGAAAAGGCAUUUAAAAAAUGUCUCUGGGCUGGGCGAGGUGGCUCACAUUUGUAGGUGGAUUGUUUGAGCCCAGGAGUUCAACACCAGCCUGGGCAACAUGGAAAAACCUGUCUCUA